AUGUGUAUUUUCUUCUCAUACAGUCUCUUGAAACUGGUACAUUAUCAUAGCUUUCGGCUUCAACACCCUCAUCAGACACCUUUACAUUUAGAAGACUAGCCAUCAUACUUCAUUUGCAUGUAACUCUGUCUUAAUAUUGAGCUUCAAGCUGUCCUUGAAGAAGGUACAAUUGCCUUUCAGAAUUGGGUUAAAACAGGCACAGAAGUUUAUAGACAGUUUUGGAUCUUUGACGUGCAAAACCCACAGGAAGUGGUUGUGAACAGCAGUAGAAUCAAGGUUAAACAGAGGGGUCCUUACACAUACAGAGUUCGUUAUCUAGCUAAAGAAAAUAUAACCCAUGACUCUGAGAGCCACACAGUCUCUUUUGUCCAGCCAAAUGGUGCCAUCUUUGAACCUUCGCUUUCCGUUGGAACAGAAAACGACACUCUGACCGUUCUCAAUCUGGCUGUAGCAGUGAGUAGACUAGAUAAACAAUAAAAUUAU